rnacentral:rRNA from 1 species
CCUACGGGCGGCAGCAGUGGGGCAUAUUGGGCAAUGGGCGCAAGCCUGACCCAGCAACGCCGCGUGAAGGACGAAGGCUUUCGGGUUGUAAACUUCUUUUAAGAGGGAAGAGCAGAAGACGGUACCUCUUGAAUAAGCCACGGCUAACUACGUGCCAGCAGCCGCGGUAAUACGUAGGGGGCAAGCGUUGUCCGGAUUUACUGGGUGUAAAGGGCGUGUAGCCGGGCUGACAAGUCAGAUGUGAAAUCCCGUGGCUCAACCACGGAACUGCAUUUGAAACUGUCGGUCUGGAGAAGCGGAGAGGCAGGCGGAAUUCCUAGUGUAGCGGUGAAAUGCGUAGAUAUUAGGAGGAACACCAGUGGCGAAGGCGGCCUGCUGGACGACAACUGACGGUGAGGCGCGAAAGCGUGGGGAGCAAACAGGAUUAGAUACCCCUGUAGUC